rnacentral:rRNA from 1 species
UAGGGAAUCUUCCACAAUGGACGAAAGUCUGAUGGAGCAACGCCGCGUGAGUGAAGAAGGUUUUCGGAUCGUAAAGCUCUGUUGUUGGUGAAGAAGGAUAGAGGCAGUAACUGGUCUUUAUUUGACGGUAAUCAACCAGAAAGUCACGGCUAACUACGUGCUAG